AUUGAACGCUGGCGGCAUGCCUUACACAUGCAAGUCGAACGGUAACAGGUCUUCGGAUGCUGACGAGUGGCGAACGGGUGAGUAAUACAUCGGAACGUGCCUAGUAGUUGGGGAUAACUACACGAAAGAGUAGCUAAUACCGCAUGAGGUCUACGGAUGAAAGCAGGGGACAGAAAGACCUUGUGCUACUAGAGCGGCCGAUGGCAGGUUAGGUAGUUGGUGGGAUAAAAGCUUACCAAGCCGACGAUCUGUAGCUGGUCUGAGAGGACGAUCAGCCACACUGGGACUGAGACACGGCCCAGACUCCUACGGGAGGCAGCAGUGGGGAAUUUUGGACAAUGGGCGCAAGCCUGAUCCAGCAAUGCCGCGUGCAGGAUGAAGGCCUUCGGGUUGUAAACUGCUUUUGUACGGAACGAAAAGCCCUGGGUUAAUACCCUGGGGUCAUGACGGUACCGUAAGAAUAAGCACCGGCUAACUACGUGCCAGCAGCCGCAGUAACAC
rnacentral:rRNA from 1 species